GCAGGAGAACAAAGACAAUUCUUCCAUGGCCGUGCAGGUGGAUCAGAAUCCUAACGCAAGAGGCAUGGCGCAGCGCCGCCCUCGUCGGCCGGUUUUAGAUAUCUCACCAUUCGGGUUGGUGGACUCAUUGUCUCCAAUGAGGACUAUGAAGCAGAUGCUCGACACGAUGGACAGGAUGUUCGACGAUGUCACGGCCUUCCCGAAAAUUAGUAAUGGAGAGAUCCGGGCGCCGUGGGAGAUGAGGGAGGAUGAGGGGCAUGUUCGGAUGCGGUUCGACUUGCCCGGGCUGUCGAAAGAGGAGG
rnacentral:misc_RNA from 1 species